rnacentral:lncRNA from 1 species
ACAGUGUAGGAUCCAGCCAACAGGACCAGGACAGCACUGGCUACACUGGCUUAUCGAUUACAUCCCACAAUAGAAAGGAUGCUCAGGCAUAUGGCCUCAGAAACAUGGGCUAUUGAGACAGAGAAAAAGACAACUCUGGAAGGAGAGAGCCUGGCCUUACAGAAGACAUCUGAACUAUCAAUCAACAGAAAUCUCACGUAUAGUUGAAGAAUCAGAAAUCUGAGCGUAGGAAGAAGUGGGUUAGCCCUGGAGAAAGGAAAAGGAGGAUCAUGGUUCUCUGCAAAGAGCUGGAAGCUAAAAAGCAGGCUGUGUUUACUUACCAACCAGGACUCAGUGGGAUCUUUGCCAGCUUCCAAUAUGGCCUUAAAAGUAUAUGAAAUCCAAGAAAUAUUUCUGCAAAGCAAGAGAUCUUCACUGCUUUAUUUUCCACCACCUGAAUCCUUGCAGUGAGUGUAGUGUGUAUCUAAUCAAUCUAUUAAAAAAUACUUCAAAAGUUCUA